rnacentral:rRNA from 1 species
CCUACGGGAGGCAGCAGUAGGGAAUCUUCCGCAAUGGACGAAAGUCUGACGGAGCAACGCCGCGUGAACGAUGAAGGCCUUCGGGUCGUAAAGUUCUGUUGUUAGGGAAGAACAAGUGCUAGUUAAAUAAGCUGGCACCUUGACGGUACCUAACCAGAAAGCCACGGCUAACUACGUGCCAGCAGCCGCGGUAAUACGUAGGUGGCAAGCGUUGUCCGGAAUUAUUGGGCGUAAAGCGCGCGCAGGCGGUUUCUUAAGUCUGAUGUGAAAGCCCCCGGCUCAACCGGGGAGGGUCAUUGGAAACUGGGAAACUUGAGUGCAGAAGAGGAAAGUGGAAUUCCAAGUGUAGCGGUGAAAUGCGUAGAGAUUUGGAGGAACACCAGUGGCGAAGGCGACUUUCUGGUCUGUAACUGACGCUGAGGCGCGAAAGCGUGGGGAGCAAACAGGAUUAGAUACCCUGGUAGUCCACGCUGUAAACGAUGAGUGCUAAGUGUUAGAGGGUUUCCGCCCUUUAGUGCUGAAGUUAACGCAUUAAGCAUCCGCCUGGGGAGUACGGUCGCAAGACUGAAACUUAANANAUAGAGNGNGAGAGNGCGACGACGACGACGAGGAGGAG